rnacentral:rRNA from 1 species
UUGNAGGGCAAGUCUGGUGCCAGCAGCCGCGGUAAUUCCAGCUCCAAUAGCGUAUAUUAAAGUUGUUGCAGUUAAAAAGCUCGUAGUUGAAUUUCGGGGUCAGUAGGUUGGUCGUGCCACUGGUAUGCACUGGUCUCACUGAUUCCUCCUUCUUGUAGAACCGUAAUGCCAUUAAGUUGGUGUUGCGGGGAAACAGGACUGUUACUUUGAAAAAAUUAGAGUGUUUAAAGCAAGCUAACGCUUGAAUACAUUAGCAUGGAAUAAUGAAAUAGGACGAACGAUCCUAUUUUGUUGGUUUCUAGGAUUGACGUAAUGAUUAAUAGGGAUAGUUGGGGGCAUUAGUAUUCAAUUGUCAGAGGUGAAAUUCUUGGAUUUAUUGAAGACUAACUACUGCGAAAGCAUUUGCCAAGGAUGUUUUCAUUAAUCAAGAACGAAAGUUAGGGGAUCGAAGACGAUCAGAUACCGUCGUAGUCUUAACCAUAAACUAUGCCGACUAGGGAUCGGAUGAUGUUAAUUUUAUAAUGACUCAUUCGGCGCCUUACGGGAAAC